CAGGGAAUAGUUUAACUUAGAAUACUAGCUUUGGGAGUUAGAGGUGGAAGUUAAAAUCUUUCUUUUCUGG
rnacentral:tRNA from 1 species